ACUGCAAAGGACAACGGUUAGCAGAACAGGUGCAAAACGCUCUUAUGAGGAAAAAGAAUGGCAGCUGACAGCGCUACAUCGAUUCCAGGCAAGUCACGUGCUAUUAACGCGAGCGAUUCGGCCGCCAUAUCUAAGCGACUUGCAGACGACUUCCAGCGGUCGUACGUCUCGGACCCCCGAGUCGAAGUCGCAGCUCUCCGGCCACGAUCGCAUACUCCUUCUGACCGUCGCGCCCUCUGCGCUGUCGUCUGCUAUAUCUGCCACGUCGGGAAGUUUUCGGAAAAGAGCCCCUCCACCCAAGCGGACAUGGCAUACCACACCCUUCGAGCUUUGUAGGCGCACUGGGACCAACGUUAGCAGUCGGCACGCGGCGGCGGACCGGCCGGCCGGCGCUCCAAACUCUGUCGUCUGCUACGGGGAUUUCGGGAACAUAUUCGUCUAACAAUUUCUUAGGAUAAAGCAAAAAGCCGUGGGCUGACUCGAGCUGCCCGUGCAAAACUGGACCCUUUGGAUUGUUUUGUUCGUUCGGCUCGAGUUAGGAAACGGUGAUGUGCCUCCAAGACGUUCCCUGCAAGAACCCUCUCAGAGGAACCGACACGCAUCAAUAUCAGGUACAUAAAUUUCUUCAUAACCCCGAACAUAUGAAGAACUGCACGACAAAAAGUCUGCCCUUCUGCGGUAACGCAUAGCUUCGCAGAUCACGAAAGCUUUGAACAAUGGAGACGUCCACGUCCACCAAUCACUGCGAAAUGGUGUGACGUCACACCAAUCAAACAUCGUCCAGCUGCCCAGCUUUGCCAGCGCAUGGUAGCAGUUGGAUUGUUAUUUUACGGCUCCGCUGCCCUAUUGUUAUUGAGAAGAACAGACACUCUGAUGAAAAUUUUCCAUUUCAUUUAGAACGCACUCACUUUCAGAAACAACAUCUAAAAAAUCAACGAAUAGUAUCUUCCAUUCACAAAGAAAGCCUUCCUUCUCUCGUGUUUACGGUUUACUACGGUUUUUACGGCACUAAUAAAUACAGCGAACAAUCAAAUGGG